rnacentral:rRNA from 1 species
UACGAAGGGUGCAGACGUUGCUCGGAAUCAUUGGGCGUAAAGCGCACGCAGGCGGCUUGCCAAGUCGGACGUGAAAUCCCUCAGCUCAACUGAGGACGUGCAUCCGAAACUGGCGAGCUUGAGUGCUGAAGAGGAUCGCGGAAUUCCCGGUGUAGAGGUGAAAUUCGUAGAUAUCGGGAGGAACACCAGUGGCGAAGGCGGCGAUCUGGGCAGACACUGACGCUGAGGUGCGAAAGCGUGGGGAGCAAACAGG